rnacentral:rRNA from 1 species
AUACGGAGGGUGCGAGCGUUAAUCGGAAUUACUGGGCGUAAAGGGUGCGUAGGCGGCUUGAUAAGUCGGAUGUGAAAGCCCCGGGCUUAACCUGGGAAUUGCAUUCGAUACUGUCAGGCUAGAGUAUGUCAGAGGUUGGCGGAAUUCCUGGUGUAGCGGUGAAAUGCGUAGAUAUCAGGAGGAACACCAGUGGCGAAGGCGGCUAACUGGGACAAUACUGACGCUGAGGCACGAAAACGUGGGGAGCAAACAGGAUUAGAAACCCUAGUAGUCC